UACGUAGGGACCAAGCGUUGUUCGGAUUUACUGGGCGUAAAGGGCGCGUAGGCGGCUUAACAAGUCACUUGUGAAAUCUCUGAGCUUAACUCAGAACGGCCAAGUGAUACUGCAGUGCUAGAGUGUGGAAGGGGCAAUCGGAAUUCUUGGUGUAGCGGUGAAAUGCGUAGAUAUCAAGAGGAACACCUGAGGUGAAGACGGGUUGCUGGGCCAACACGUGACGCUGAGGCGCGAAAGCCAGGGGAGCAAACGGG
rnacentral:rRNA from 1 species